GGGUCGGUAUCCAAGUCUGGCUUAAGGAAGCCGUCUGUAAAACGGUUGCUACUGCGUCGUUGGUUCAAAUCCAACCCAACCCA
rnacentral:tRNA from 1 species